UUAACGGCUGCAAUGAGAAUUGUACUAAGGUAGCGUGAUAAGUUGUCUUUUAAUUGAAGAAUGGUAUGAAUGGUUUGAUGUGAAAAAGCUGUCUUUAUACAAGCUUAUGAAGUUUCCUUUUAAGUGUAAAGGCUUAUAUAUUUAUAAAAGACGAGAAGACCCUGUCGAGUUUAAUUAGAUUUAAUUAGAGAUUAUUAGUUUAAAAUUUUAUUGGGGCAAUAUAGGUUAAUUUAGCCAUCUAUCAAUAAGGUAGAGAUCCUUUAAGAGAGAAGAGACAAAAACUACCGCAGGGAUAACAGCGUUAUCCUUUUUAAGAGAUCUUAUUGAGAGAAGGGUUUGCGACCUCGAUGUUGGAUUAGAAAAA
rnacentral:rRNA from 1 species